AUUGAACGCUGGCGGCAUGCCUUACACAUGCAAGUCGAGCGAAUGGAUUAAGAGCUUGCUCUUAUGAAGUUAGCGGCGGACGGGUGAGUAACACGUGGGUAACCUGCCCAUAAGACUGGGAUAACUCCGGGAAACCGGGGCUAAUACCGGAUAACAUUUUGAACCGCAUGGUUCGAAAUUGAAAGGCGGCUUCGGCUGUCACUUAUGGAUGGACCCGCGUCGCAUUAGCUGGUUGGUGAGGUAACGGCUCACCAAGGCAACGAUGCGUAGCCGACCUGAGAGGGUAUCGGCCACACUGGGACUGAGACACGGCCCAGACUCCUACGGGAGGCAGCAGUAGGGAAUCUUCCGCAAUGGACGAAAGUCUGACGGAGCAACGCCGCGUGAGUGAUGAAGGCUUUCGGGUCGUAAAACUCUGUUGUUAGGGAAGAACAAGUGCUAGUUGAAUAAGCUGGCACCCUGACGGUACCUGACCAGAAAGCCACGGCUAACUACGUGCCAGCAGCCGCAGUAA
rnacentral:rRNA from 1 species